rnacentral:rRNA from 1 species
CCUACGGGUGGCAGCAGUGAGGAAUAUUGGUCAAUGGACGAGAGUCUGAACCAGCCAAGUAGCGUGAAGGAUGACUGCCCUAUGGGUUGUAAACUUCUUUUAUAAAGGAAUAAAACGAGGCACGUGUGCCUUUUUGCAUGUACUUUAUGAAUAAGGAUCGGCUAACUCCGUGCCAGCAGCCGCGGUAAUACGGAGGAUCCGAGCGUUAUCCGGAUUUAUUGGGUUUAAAGGGAGCGUAGAUGGGUUGUUAAGUCAGUUGUGAAAGUUUGCGGCUCAACCGUAAAACUGCAAUUGAUACUGGCAGUCGUGAGUACAGUUGAGGUAGGCGGAAUUCGUGGUGUAGCGGUGAAAUGCUUAGAUAUCACGAAGAACCCCGAUUGCGAAGGCAGCUUACUAAACUGUGACUGACAUUGAUGCUCGAAAGUGUGGGUAUCAAACAGGAUUAGAUACCCCUGUAGUC